rnacentral:rRNA from 1 species
CGGACAUCAGGAGGUUAGUGCAAUGGCAUAAGCCAGCUUGACUGCGAGCGUGACGGCGCGAGCAGGUGCGAAAGCAGGUCAUAGUGAUCCGGUGGUUCUGAAUGGAAGGGCCAUCGCUCAACGGAUAAAAGGUACUCCGGGGAUAACAGGCUGAUACCGCCCAAGAGUUCAUAUCGACGGCGGUGUUUGGCACCUCGAUGUCGGCUCAUCACAUCCUGGGGCUGAAGUAGGUCCCAAGGGUAUGGCUGUUCGCCAUUUAAAGUGGUACGCGAGCUGGGUUUAGAACGUCGUGAGACAG